AUUGAACGCUGGCGGCAGGCCUAACACAUGCAAGUCGAGCGGGGUUUUCGGACCUAGCGGCGGACGGGUGAGUAAUGCGUAGGAAGCUACCCGAUAGAGGGGGAUACCAGUUGGAAACGACUGUUAAUACCGCAUAAUGUCUACGGACCAAAGUGUGGGACCUUCGGGCUACAUUCUAUCGGAUGCGCCUACGUGGGCUUAUCUAGUUGGUGGGGGAAUUGCUGACCAAGGCGACAAUCCCUAGCUGGUUUGAGAGGAUGAUCAGCCACACUUGAACUGAGACACGGUGCAGACUCAUACGGGAGGGAGCAGUGGUGAAUAUUGGACAAUGGGCGCAAGCCUGAUCCAGCAAUGCCGCGUGGUUGAAGAAGGCCUUCGGGUUGUAAAGCACUUUCAGUAGGGAGGAAGGGUGUUGUGUUAAUCGCACAGCAUGUUGACGUUACCUACAGAAGAAGCACCGGCUAACUCUGUGCCAGCAGCCGCCGUAACAC
rnacentral:rRNA from 1 species